rnacentral:rRNA from 1 species
GAUGAACGCUGGCGGCGUGCCUAAUACAUGCAAGUCGAGCGAACAGACGAGGAGCUUGCUCCUCUGACGUUAGCGGCGGACGGGUGAGUAACACGUGGAUAACCUACCUAUAAGACUGGGAUAACUUCGGGAAACCGGAUCUAAUACCGGAUAAUAUAUUGAACCGCAUGGUUCAAUAGUGAAAGACGGUGUUGCUGUCACUUAUAGAGGGAUCCGCGCCGCAUUAGCUAGUUGGUAAGGUAACGGCUUACCAAGGCAACGAUGCGUAGCCGACCUGAGAGGGUGAUCGGCCACACUGGAACUGAGACACGGACCAGACUCCUACGGGAGGCAGCAGUAGGGAAUCUUCCGCAAUGGGCGAAAGCAUGACGGAGCAACGCCGCGUGAGUGAUGAAGGUCUUCGGAUCGUAAAACUCUGUUAUUAGGGAAGAACAAAUGUGUAAGUAACUAUGCACGUCUUGACGGUACCUAAUCAGAAAGCAACGGCUAACUACGUG